rnacentral:misc_RNA from 1 species
GAUGAAGAACGUAGCGAAAUGCGAUAAGUAAUGUGAAUUGCAGAAUUCAGUGAAUCAUCGAAUCUUUGAACGCACAUUGCACUCAUUAGUAUUCUAGUGAGUAUGCCUGUUCGAGCGUCAUUUCAACCCUUAAGCCUAGCUUAGUGUUGGGACUCUACCCUAACCGGUAGUUCCCCAAAAUCAGUUGGCGGAGUUCAGUCGGCUCUGAGUGUAGUAAUUUUCUCUCGCUUUAGAAGUCUUCUGGAUUACGGCCAGAAAGAGACGAGUCUCGCAUCUCGGUGCGUUUCUCAACUUUUUUUUACAAUGGUUGACCUCGGAUCAGGUAGGAAUACCCGCUGAACUCAAGCAUAUCAAUAAGCGGAGGA